AACAGGACGCUGCGAGACAACGGUGGAAGGGUAGAACCAGGCAGGGUCACAAUGCCCACAGCCGAAAAACCCUCUAGUUUGCCCAGCUGUGGUUACACCCUUCAAUAACAUUGCCAUGUAUGGGGAGGAUCCUGCUCUCUAUGUAAAUAGUGGAAAGGCCGGCCACUUGGAUGUAUUCACUGCUUUACACAGCCUUUAUGAGGAUCAAGAAGAAUAUAGAGAUGGAGCGUGGCCCUGCCGCUCUGGGCCUCAUGGGACGCCAUGGGUCAGAUCAUAUGGUCAUUCAGUCAGUUUCUUGUGUUUCUGUUCCCUGCAGUUUUCCCGGGCGGCCCCCACACAAGAAAAAGAGCAGAAACCCACAGAAGUGGUGCCGUUCAUAAACGUCUACGAGCGCAGCAUGUGCCAAGUACGGGAGACGUUGGUGGAUAUCUACCAGGAAUAUCCAGACGAAGUGGAGUUCAUCUUCAAACCCUCUUGUGUAGCGCUCAUGAGGUGUGCAGGAUGCUGCAGCGAUGAGACUUUCGAGUGCGUACCCACGGAGUGGUACAAUGUCACCAUGCAGAUCUUGAGGAUGAGACCUCACAUGAGUCAGCUGUAUGUGGAGAAGAGUUUCCAGCAGCACAGUCGCUGUGAAUGCAGACAAAAGAAAGAAAUUAAAGGCAAACAGGAAAAGUAAGUGGCUCUGUUUUUGUCUGAUUCUGCACAUGUCCUACCCACCAGCGGGAAUCGCAUAGACCUGCCAUUAACCCUUCCUGCUGCUCUGCGGCUCUGAAAGCGUUGAUCUAUCAUUGAUCUGACUACAACGUCCCCAGGAGUUACUGUCCGGUACAUUGUCACUGAUGCUCCUCAGUGGACAAUGCAUUCUACACGCAACAUUAUCCGCUCUGAAUGACGCUCCCCUUUGUUCUCUGCUUCUCUAACCACGCUGUUAAUUAGAGGUAGGGGCUACGUGGGGCUUAAUACCCGGGUAACAUUCGUGCUGGCUGUCGGGGUGAUGGUUUAUGGGUCCAGUACCUGUGAGUGAAGCAUGACUCAGAUUACACGCAUGUCCUCAUGGAUCUGCCAAGCCGGAGGUCUGUGAAAGUGUGGACAUCUCCCUGAGACAAGAUCUUUUUUUUUUUUUAUUGCUUUUGAUUUCUGAAGCUCCGUACUGCUCUUCAGCCUUGUCCAUAUAGACUUUUUAUUGCCAAAUCUUGUGUGUCCAGUGGAAUCACUGACCGUCCUCCAAACCCCAGGACUUGGACCUGCAUUACUGUACUAAAAUUGGGAGCCGUGGCCCAUAGAAGCCUGAAUGCCUCUUCAUUCCAAUCCAUGUUUAGACCAGAGGAGGGGAUGGGACAGGAGCCCAGGGGGGAGAAGGUGAGGCGUUUUCUUAGACUCUGUCAGGACCUGUCAGCUGGCACUGGUGCAGCUAUAGUUUUUCUCCAGGAACCUGCACUUGCUGCUGCACGCUCCUUCUCCUGCUGGAGAAGCUGCAUGGUCCUGGAGACGUUAACCUGUUCCUAUCAGAAGACGAUGCACAUUCUCUGCACUCUAUAAUGUGGACCUGACAUAGGCCCAUCUUUAGAGAUAUUGGUGCUAAUCCAGUCUCACCAGAUGCAUUGACCACACAGACGCCAUUCCUGGUUUAUCAGUAAAAGUCUGCUUGGCUUUCUGGUAGCUAUUGAUUUUUAUUUUACGACUCGUCAUGCACCAUAUAUCCCAGCAGCGUGCACCUGCUGGGGGAUACAUUGCCAGUCAUAGCCCAACUAUUUAUGAAAUGUCACCUGCUGUCUAAACCCCAAACCCUUUAAAUGUAGGAAUCCUCUUCAUAGUGACUGUGAGGGAGUGAGCCCUUACCUGCUGCAAGGGGAUGAGAACGGCUGGGGGGGAAAAUCACUGAAUGCUCUGCUGUAGAAAGGCCUCUUGGAGAGAGAUGUUUUUGCUAUUAAGCUUACUAUUAAUAUCCGGCCACGUGUGGGAAAGGUCACCUCUGCUGUCCAUGCAGCUUCAUGAUGAGGCAGGAGAAGAUGGCAGACCUGCUCCCCUCACCGCCAAGUCUUGCACACUGAUAACGCUGUCCUGUGCUGUCUAUGAACAGACGCCGGCUCAAAGUUUGCUGCUUUUCACAGCCCAUAGCAGCACCUGUGUGGAGACUAGCGCAGAUUAUAGGUGGUCACGCUGCCGCCAUCUGCAACGUUCCUGUGUGUGUAUGAGGGCCCAGUCAUGGCAGCUCCUCUGAAGCCAGCCGACAUUCCAGCGUAGUAUGCAGGUACUCUCCUCUGCACAGAGCACUGCAGAUGUGGGUUUCAUUAAUUAUGGCACUAGAUUCUUACUUUGAACUUAUUACAUUAGACGAGGCAGGGUCACGGAUUACAUCUCCAGAUUACAUAGAAAAUUACAUGAGCGAAAUGCUCUGCAGGUGGCUCAGUCCUGAAGUGUGAGGAUCCAGGCUGACUAGAGCAGUGUGGACCCCGCGACUAAUCAUAGUGCGCAUGCCUGCAUAAGUAAGUGACCCCUUAUCUGCGUGCCGGCAGAGUUCAGUGGGUUUUAUCCCCCCUGCUUCGUACAGAUCUCCAGACUCCUCUUCUGGACGGUACAAGCUCAGGUUCUUGAUUGGAUUUGUAAUGUUCUAGACCACCCCGUAGUCCAGCGACAUUAUUCUGCUCGUGUUGCCCCUGAUUUUGCUCGAGUUUCUCUCGUUUUUUUGCCCUUUCUCUUUCUCUCUCUCUCUCUCGCUCUUUGUUUAUUUUUUUUCUUCCAGAAAAGCAAAACGAGGGAAGGGCCAUAAACGAAAGCGCAAGAAAAUCCGGUACAAAUCGCACCGCUUAUGUGAAAAACCGCGGCGGUGAGACGAGGAGAGAGUCUCCGGAAAGAGACAAAAUGGAGUGAAAAUGAAGGAUCGAAACUCGGCACAGCACUUUGGUUCUCAUGCAUUCCGUGUCCCUGAGGGGGGACAGAAUAGCCGUAUUAUUCAGUAAACGCCAUUUCUCCUUCUCCUUUUCAAAAUUGAUGCUGCUACACAUCGAGAGCCAGAACAGUGGGGUCAUAACUUUUUUUGGAUUCUUAUAAAUAUAUUAUAAUAAUUAAAUAUAGAUAUAUAAAUAUAUAUAUAUUUGUGUAUAUAUAUAUAUUGGAUUUUUCUUAACAAAAUAGUAAUUUGCUGGACUUUGGUCACCAACCGAAACAAUUUUUUUUUAAACUGAAGUACGUGGGGGAUAGCUGCUCAGCUGAUGCUAACCUCUAAUAACAUUAAUUAUUCUGGAUCAUAAUCUGUUGUCGCUAAGUUUCUUCUAUACCAAUACAAGUUCAGAUCAAAGGUCAAAGAAACCCUGCUGAGUCCUACAGCCGCGAAGCUCGAUCCUUCACGAAGCGUACCUGUGCCCUCUGCAGAUUGAAAGACUCAUUGAGGAAAUGGAGACUAAUCGGUGCCAUAGGUUGGCCAGAGACGACGUCAUUGUAUAACCUGCCCAUCAUGCACAGUUUCUACCCCGGAGGAGCCCUGGCAUCUAAUGUCGGCUGGUCUAUGUAUGGAUUUGAGUACAAAAGGCUUUCGGGGGAAAAAAGUUGUUUGACUUUAUAUCCAAUGGACAUUUUUACUUUGUCGAGUUAAAAGAAAAAUGCCCUUUGCAAACGAUGUGACCUAUUGACUCCAUUUGUCAGGCAUAUGCUGAGCCAGUGCCAGUUGUAUCUCUGUGGUCUUAAUACAACACUAAAAAUUCAAGAUCUCGCAGAAGUAAGGACUGAGUCUGGACCAAAAUCAAGGAGGUCACAAGAGAGGAAUGGUUCCGGAUUAGCGUGCAGACCUGGCGGUAAUCACUAGAAUCCAUUGGGACUUGUAUUCUCCCAGUGAGCAAUCGGCAAAUGACGUGAACUCUUGUACAUUGAGUUAAUUACUCACCCCAGUGAGGAAGACUCACUCAUAAUGAGUGGAAAUGACUAUAUUAAGAGUACGAAUCGCUCAAUGAGUGCAGCUUGCUGUUUAAUGAAUGAGACUUGUUUAUGUUGAGUGAGACGGCUUUCCAGUGGGUGAAUGGCUUCCCCACCCAAAUCGUAGAACCAGGACUGGCUUAGCAUGUCUGAGAAUCUGAAGCACCAAGUAUGUCCACCCAACACCGUGAGUCCUGGAGUCGCAGCCGGUGGAAUCACUAGAAUGUAUAGAGCGUGUUCACUGUAGCCUUGCUUGUGUAUCUCAUGUAUACAGACACACACACCUGUUCUAAGGUUCCACGUGCCUUGCAGCCUAGAAACGAGUGAGGCUCACCCCGAGCUGUUUUCUGGUUAAAGGACUUUAGUGCCGAUGAAAGAUUAACUGAUAUAUAUAUAAAAAAAAGACACAAAUAAAGGGUUAAUCCCUGCAUGAGGGAGUUGGCUCCUUUGCUGCUAGACUGUGUUAGAAUGAAAUCCCUGUGUACACUGCAAAGUUGUCUGGGAAACCUUUUCACGGAGGGGGGGGUUCGUAAAUUUACCUGUGUGGAUGCAUACGUGCGGUGGUCAGUGUUAUCCCAUUCAAGGCAGGGACGCUUGCAAAUGAUUGUGGU